GUCAGUGUCGUCUAGUGGUUAGGACGCGAGCUUCACACGCCGAGAUCGAGGGUUCGAUCCCUCCUCUGAUA
rnacentral:tRNA from 1 species